GAUGAACGCUGGCGGCGUGCCUAAUACAUGCAAGUCGAGCGAACAGACGAGGAGCUUCCUCCUCUUACUUUAGCGCCGCACGGGCGAGUAACACGUGGAUAUCCUACCUAUAAGACUGGCAUAACUUCGGGAAACCGGAGCUAAUACCGGAUAAUAUAUUUAACCGCAUGGUUCAUUAGUGAAAGACGGUUUUUCUGUCACUUAUAGAUGGAUCCGCGCCGCAUUAGCUAGUUGGUAAGGUAACGGCUUACCAAGGCAACGAUGCGUAGCCGACCUGAGAGGGGGAUCAGCCACACUGGAAUGGAGCCGCGGUCCAGACCCCUACGGGACGCAGCGGUAGAGAAUCUUACGCUAUGGGAGAAAGCAUAGCGUAGAACAGCCAAGUGAGGGGUAAGAAUACUCCGCUAUGAGUACUCUGCUGUUAGGAAAAAAGAAAUGUGUAAGUAACGAUGCACGUUUUGAAGGUACCUUAUGAAAAAGCACCGGCUAAUUACGUG
rnacentral:rRNA from 1 species